rnacentral:rRNA from 1 species
GACGAACGCUGGCGGCGUGCUUAACACAUGCAAGUCGAACGGAAAGGCCCCUUUGGGGGUCCUCGAGUGGCGAACGGGUGAGUAACACGUGAGUAACCUGCCCUUGACUUCGGGAUAACUUCAGGAAACUGGGGCUAAUACCGGAUAGGAAUCCUUGCUGCAUGGUGGGGGUUGGAAAGCUUCGGCGGUUUUGGAUGGACUCGCGGCUUAUCAGCUUGUUGGUGGGGUAGUGGCUUACCAAGGCUUUGACGGGUAGCCGGCCUGAGAGGGCGACCGGCCACAUUGGGACUGAGAGACGGCCCAGACGCCUACGGGAGGCAGCAGGGGGGAAGAUUGCACAAGGGGCGGAAGCCUGAUGCAGCAACGCCGCGGGCGGGAUGACGGCCUUCGGGUUGUAAACCGCUUUCAGCAGGGGCGAAGCUUGUGGUGACGGUACCUGCAGAAGAAGCACCGGCUAACUACGUG